rnacentral:rRNA from 1 species
AACGUAGGGGGCAAGCGUUAUCCGGAUUUACUGGGCGUAAAGCGCCCGUAGGCGGCCUGACAAGUUGGACGUGAAAGCUCCUGGCUUAACUGGGAGAGGCCGUUCAAAACUGUCAAGCUAGAGUCUGGAAGAGGAGAGCGGAAUUCCCGGUGUAGUGGUGGAAUGCGUAGAGAUCGGGAGGAACACCAGUGGCGAAAGCGGCUCUCUGGUCCAAAACUGACGCUGAGGGGCGAAAGCGUGGGGAGCAAACGGG